GACGAACGCUGGCGGCGGGCUUAACACAUGCAAGUCGAACGGGAAGGCCCUGCUUUUGGUGGGUGCUCGGGUGGCGAACGGGUGAGUAACACGUGAGUAACCUGCCCUUGACUUGGGGAUAACUGCAGGUAACUGGGGCUAAUACCGGAUAGGAGCUCCUGUUGCAUGGGGUGGGUUGGAAAGUGUCGGGGGUUGGGGCUGGACUCGCGGCUUAUCAGCUUGCUGUUGGGGUAGGGUCUUACCAAGGCAUUGGCGGGUAGCCGGCCUGAGAGGGUGACCGGCCACACCGGGCCUGGGAUGAGGCCCAGACCCGUACGGGAGGCAGCAGUGCGGAAGAUAGCACAAUGGGAUGAAGCCUAACGUAGCCAAGCCGUGUGCGGUAUGACGGGAUUCCGGUUGUGAUCCGAUUUCGCCUGUGACGAGGCGUGAGUGACGGUAACGGAUAAAGAAGCACCGGCUAACUACGUG
rnacentral:rRNA from 1 species